rnacentral:rRNA from 1 species
UACGAAGGGGGCGAGCGUUGUUCGGAUUUACUGGGCGUAAAGGGCGCGUAGGCGGCCCUCCUUGUCGCGUGUGAAAGCCCCGGGCUCAACCUGGGAAUUGCGCGCGAUACUGGGAGGCUUGAAUCCGGGAGAGGGAUGUGGAAUUCCAGGUGUAGCGGUGAAAUGCGUAGAUAUCAGGAGGAACACCUAUUGCGAAGGCAGCUCGCUGGGACGUAACUGACGCUGAGACGCGAAAGCGUGGGGAGCGAACCGG